CUGAGGCUGUGGAUGGUGUUGUGUUCUACAUGGCUGAGGUUAUGGGGCAAGUGAUGCUGCUUUUCACAAUUGGAAAAGAUAUGGGUGAUUUUGAACCUGAUUGUAUCACUUUAACCAAAAUGACCCAAAUGCUCCAUCACUGAUAACCUUCCUUACAAAAAGGGGUUUUACGUAAUGUCUGGGUGCCAUUUUUUUGGCUCAGUGGAAUUAAUUCUUCUGUUCCUCUUUCCCCAAAUUACACAGAGAUCACAUGAGAGCUGUGCUGCUUUGAGUGCCACAGGCUUUUAGCUCUUUUGGAUAUAUAAAAUUCAGCAUUGGCUGAUGCUUUUUGACUGAAGCUCAAAGUGGAAUUGAAUCUCAGUAUUUUUUGUUUCAGUCCCCAGUUUCCCCUCUUAUUCCUGCAUCACCAGUGUUGACUUAAUCUGGUUUUAUAGGGUUUUGCCAAAACUGGGGAUUGCAAGCACUUUGCGAAGUAGGUUUUGGCAUAGCCGAUUAUAAAAAGGGAAACCUUGUAAGCUUCAGGUGGGCUUCUUAAUCACAGUUGCUAUUUAAAGAAAAAGAAUCAAUGCAGAUGCUUUAAUAAACUCCAAAGCUGUUCCAUGAACUGAGUUACCAAAAUGUUGCCUGCUUACUUGGCCUUUUCUUCCAUAGUUAGACUGAGAAAGUGGUUUAAUAAAAUGUCUGUUUUAUAAUAACAUCCAAAAAGUGGAUUUGAAUGUCUGGCCAAGAAAGUUCUUAGUGACUAAGGAAAUAUAAGGUAAUCAGAUGGGUUGGGUGGAGGGAGUAACUAGUUUCCUUUGCAUGUUCUUUGUUCCAAUUUUUCUCAUUUUCUCAUAGCAAUGCUUCAUUUAAAAACAUGCCACAUUAGCACAUGCUUUAGUUUCAUUGCCCUUUCCAAUGCUAAGAGUGUGGUUAAGGCAAUGGACUGGGACUCAGGAGAGCCUGGCUCUGCAACAGAUUCCAUGUGUGACUGUGGGGAAGUCUAUUGAUCUCUGUACGUGGUUUCCCCACCUCUAAAGGGAGAUCAUAAUACUUCCUUUGUCUGUCUUGUCUGCUUAGAUUCUAAGCUUUCUCAGGGCAGGGAUUUGUACAAGUGGGGCCCCAAUCUCAGCUGAGGCCUCUGAGUGCAAUUGUAAUACAGUACAAAUAGGAAUUGUGGCAUAGAACUGCAGUUUAGCAACUGCCAGACAUUCAGCUAGACUUUAUAAAGCAUGAGAAAAAUGUAUGGUAUUACCCAGAGGUUUCUUAAUUUUUUUCCUCCUCCCAAGACAGACAAUUAUAAAGUAUUCAGAUCUUUUUAUGGAAAAUAUGAUCUGUAAUUGACAACCAGACAUUAGGGAAAUCUCUGUAGUCUCAUUGAUUGAGGGGAAAUUCAUUGAAGAAGUUGGCUUCUGCAUCAUACUUGAGUGAGCUGUGGUUUACAGGCUAUGGAAUGGACUUUAACAGUGUAAAUAAUAUGACUUUUUCUGCUUCUCCAGUGUGCAGCAGUGGUGCUGCUUUCUAUUUUGUUUUCAGCACCACCAGUGACAUGGGUGAAAUCCCAGUGAAUCUUGUGAGCCUUUUCUAUUGGAAUUAAUUUGUACCUGUUGUCCGGUGUAGUACCAAUCAAAAUCAAGAGCCGAAAAAUCUCAGCCAAGCAUAGCAAUUCUUGUGUCUGAGACGCUACUUUUUUUUUGGUUGUUGUAGAGACAUAAUCCAACAGAAAUAUGCUUGAUUAUGGAAGUAUUUAGGGAAUGUCUUAGGGGCUUCCUACAGCUUCCUUUUCAUGGAAUUUUGUGAUCCAAGUGCUAAAUACUAUAUAGUGAAAUAUUCUUUGAAAUUGGCUUUAGGAUUGCUUAAGAAGUUUAGUUUCCUCCUUGAUAUUUACACUGGACUCCUCAUGAAGGAUUCCUUUUUGGUAUAGACAGCCGCACUUGGAGCAGUGCAUUACCGCAAGUAAAGGACUUAGGAAAAAGUAGAGAGGUGCAAUAUGUGCUGCCUGUUUUUCACACUUGUGAUUGGGCUGCAGAAGGGAGCCUUAGUAACAGAAUGUACUUGGGACUCUGUAUCUCCUUCAUCAAUGCACAUGCCUGACUGCUGUCAUCGCUGUAAGAAAGUUUUGUCCUUGACCACUGAUGGCUGCAGCCCUGAGAUUACUGAUUGAAUGGUCCCUUUAAUGACCCCUCUCUCAUGCUAUAGAGGUCAGAGUUUGUUCCAUGUUGCACCUGAAGGAUCACAGACCUAUUUGAAACGUGGUGUCUGUUUCCAGACAAGACUUGGAUGAAUUCACACAUCUCAGAAAUGCCAGAUUUGUGUAUGAAUCAAAUACAAAUAACAUUCAGCCAGUCCCUUUGUUCACAGGACUGUCCACUCCCAAGUAGGAUUGAGGGAAGCCUAAAUACACAAGUCUGAAGUACAAGUAGCAUUCUCUGUACCUGUGGUUGGAAUGUAUUGCUUCAGGAUUAGGACCUCUGCUAUUUACCAGUGGGCCCUAUGUUUCCAUACAUUUCCUGUCAUGGGUACAGGCAGGGCAUCUGCAAAUCGGAAGAGCUGGGCAGGAAACAUUUUCCCAUCUUGUUUCCUAGAUUUCCACCCCCCAUCCCAAAUCAGGAUGAAAUAGUCAAAAUGUUGCGGGAGGGCAGUGGAAUUCAGUUCCGAUUAAUCAGACCAUUUUGUUUCAAUUUUAAUCAUUUAAAUUUUAAUCUUUUUUAGUAUAAAUUAACUGAAAGUUUGAAUCAGAAAUCAAAACUUUGUUUCAAAAAUGUCAAAAUGAGAUGUUUCAACAAUUUCAGAACUUUUUUCAAAACAUUUUCAAAUACCUGCAAACAGUUUCAGUUUGACAAAUCUGCAUUUUUCGGAUUGAAGAAAUAUUUCCUUAGAAAAUUCCUGACCAGCUCUAGAUUGAUGUCUUCUUGCUGAAUCCCCUUUUUGUUCAGCCAACCAGGAUAUUUUUCUCACUAUUACAGGAAAAUCAAGAUGUGGGGUGAGGAUACCUGACCAGGCAACAUGAUUUCUCUUCCAAAUCUGUUGUGCAAUAUUUUUAAUGAUUGAGAUGGAGCUCUCAGUGGACCGGAAACAUGGAUUUAAGAUUACUCACCUCAUUCUCUUGUUUUGGGAUGGAGAGACCAGUUUCAGACAUCACAUAGAAAUCCACAAAUAUCAAUUGCAGAAUUCAGACACACACAAAAAGGCAGAUACUGUUAAGGCCGAGUGUACUGUACUAAUGCUGCUUAGUGGUACGUAUGAAAUAAUAAAGUUGGUGGGUACUCUCAAAAGCUUGAGAGGGAAGUGGGUGUAUAAGAGCAAGAGGGAAGGUUAUAAACAUGCUGUGCUGUUCAAUGGGUAUUGCAGCCUGCAAGAUGGAGUUAGCAGCCUCUUGUGCACUGGAAGAAGUUUAUAAUGUUGUGUGUAAGUGCUGGAGUGCAUGAGUUCUGGUCCCAAGUGCAGUGAUUUGCAUGUUACUGAUUUUCAUUUUUUUCCUUUGAUGGGUUUUAUACUCUGUAUCUCUUGAGUUCGAUCCUUCCUUUUUAAAUAUUCAGUAACGUGUCGGAGAGUGCUCUGCAUCUUAGCAGUAGCAUAAGUGCUAUAUGUGGCAGGUGUUAAGUUAAAUGAGAGUGUGUUUUAUUUUGUCAUUGCAUACCUGACUCAGCAUGCAUGUAAUGCUCCAACUACUUUGCCUGCCUGGAAAUUAGCAGCACCUGCCAAAUGUGUGUCAGUGUGAGAAAUAUGUAGUGGAGGAUUGACAGUCGUGGUGAAUCAAGUCCUCCAUUUAUCCCCAGAAUGGGUGCCUCACAAGCUGCACGAAGGCGUGUAUCCCUAGAGGUGACUUACUCCUGAUCAGGCAAGUUUAGCCUUCAAGAUCCAGUCAGUCCUUGGUAUCUCUAAGAUUACCAUGGAUGCAAUUAAUGCCAGCUGUGGCUUUUAAUGGCUGUGGCUGUGAUACAAUGACACCAGUGAGCUGGAAUCUGCUUUGAGAUCAAGGGCUACCAAAAUGGCUAUCAACAUUCUUCUGGUCAACUCCUGACACUGGCUGGGUGAGAGCUGGUGUCCUCGAGCUUUCCAGUCCAACAGCACAGAGAGAACUUAUUUUACCAAAAAUACAGAGCUUACCUAGAGGAGAGCAUUACACAGGAAUUGCCACACUGGAUCAGACACAAGGUAUAUCUAGUCUAAUACCCUGUCUCUGACCGUGGCCCGCACCAGAUAAUUCAGAGGGAGGUGCAAGAAACCCCAGUGUUUACUUUGUGGAUAAAAUAACCAAUGUUUCACCUUUAUUAUAAUGGGACCUGUUCCAAAGGCCAUUGAAGUGAGUGGGAGUCUUUCUAUUGGUUUCAGUGGGCUUUGGUUCAAGCCCAUAAUGUCUGUGUCAUCUUAGUUGAAAACAAUCAAUCCUAAAAGCGUUAGGGAAUUAAAAUGGCAUGUUUGAUAGUAACAAAAGGUUUAAUCUGAACCACUCUGUCUUCCCUUUCGGACUGUGGGAAUGGAGCCCGCAUUUCUGAUCUCGCUGUACUUGACCAUAAGAAUGGCCAUACUGGGUCAGAUCAAAGGUCCAUCUAGCCCAGUAGCCUGUUGGAAAACAGUGGCCAAUGCCAGGUGCCCCAGAGGGAGUGAACCUAACAGGUAAUGAUCAAGUGAUCUCUCUCCCGCCAUCCAUCUCCACCCUCUGACAAAUGGAGGCUAGGGACACCAUUCCUUACCCAUCCUGACUAAUAGCCAUUAAUGGACUUAACUAACUCCAUGAAUUUAUCCAGUUCUCUUUUAAACCCUGUUAUAGUCCUAGCCUUCACAACCUUCUCGGGCAAGGAGUUCCAUAAGUUGACUGUGCGCUGAGUGAAGAAUAACGUCCUUUUAUUUGUUUUAAACCUGCUGCCCAUUAAUUUCAUUUGUUGGCCCCUAGUUCUUACAUUAUGGGAACAAGUAAAUAACUUUUCCUUAUUCACUUUCUCCACACCGCUCAUGAUUUUAUAUAUCUCUACCAUAU